GCCCGACGGGGUGCAGCAGGCGCGAAACCUUCGCAAUGCAGGAAAGUGCGAUAGGGGGACCCCAAGUGCCAGCAUUAACGGGGUGGCUUUUCUUAAGUGUAAAAAGCUUUUGGAAUAAGAGCUGGGCAAGACCGGUGCCAGCCGCCGCCGUAACACCGGCAGCUCAAGUGGUGGCCGUUGAUAAUGGGGUUAAAGGGGUCGUAGCCGGCUUGAUAAGUCUUUGGUGAAAUUCCGCAGCUUAACCCGGUGGAAUUGCGGGGGAUACUACCAGGCUUGGGACCGGGAGAGGUUAGCGGUACUCCCGGGGUAGGGGUGAAAUCUUAUAAUCCCCGGAGGACCACCUGUGGCGAAGGCGUCUAACCGGAACGGACUCGACGGUGAGCAACGAAAGCCAGGGGCGGG
rnacentral:rRNA from 1 species